GAAUGUGAGGGCGAUCCGGCUGUGACAUCUGUCACCCCAUGGAUUGCCAGGGUUGAUUCGGCUGAUCCGGCUGGCCGGACGGGUGUCCCCUUCCUCCCUCACCCCUUCAUGUGUCUCCCUCCAGAAGGUGUGUGCUCGGGCAAAGAGGCUGACCGCCUCCUGCUGAUACAGGAGGACCCUAUCCCACAGAGAUGAAACCUGAACAUCUCUGUUCUUGGCUAAUAACCUUUCUCUUUCAUUGAGCAAACAGGCAAUCCGAAGAGAAUCUUCACGUU
rnacentral:sRNA from 1 species